GACUCCGUAGCUCAGUUGGUUAGAGCGCCAGUUUAGUAAACUGGAGGUCAAGGGUUCAAAUCCCUUUGGAGCCU
rfam:Octopus bimaculoides Scaffold6394_contig_56, whole genome shotgun sequence.